CGGGACACGUGGUAUCCUGUCUGAAUAUGGGGGGACCAUCCUCCAAGGCUAAAUACUCCUGACUGACCGAUAGUGAACCAGUACCGUGAGGGAAAGGCGAAAAGAACCCCGGCGAGGGGAGUGAAAAAGAACCUGAAACCGUGUACGUACAAGCAGUGGGAGCCUCUUUAUGGGGUGACUGCGUACCUUUUGUAUAAUGGGUCAGCGACUUAUAUUCUGUAGCAAGGUUAACCGAAUAGGGGAGCCGAAGGGAAACCGAGUCUUAACUGGGCGUUAAGUUGCAGGGUAUAGACCCGAAACCCGGUGAUCUAGCCAUGGGCAGGUUGAAGGUUGGGUAACACUAACUGGAGGACCGAACCGACUAAUGUUGAAAAAUUAGCGGAUGACUUGUGGCUGGGGGUGAAAGGCCAAUCAAACCGGGAGAUAGCUGGUUCUCCCCGAAAGCUAUUUAGGUAGCGCCUCGUGAAUUCAUCUCCGGGGGUAGAGCACUGUUUCGGCAAGGGGGUCAUCCCGACUUACCAACCCGAUGCAAACUGCGAAUACCGGAGAAUGUUAUCACGGGAGACACACGGCGGGUGCUAACGUCCGUCGUGAAGAGGGAAACAACCCAGACCGCCAGCUAAGGUCCCAAAGUCAUGGUUAAGUGGGAAACGAUGUGGGAAGGCCCAGACAGCCAGGAUGUUGGCUUAGAAGCAGCCAUCAUUUAAAGAAAGCG
rnacentral:rRNA from 1 species